rnacentral:tRNA from 1 species
UCCUCGGUAGCUCAAUGGUAGAGCGGCUCCCUGUUAAGGAGAUGGUUGUAGGUUCGAAUCCUACCCGAGGAGCCA